rnacentral:rRNA from 1 species
AAACUUUCAACAACGGAUCUCUUGGCUCUCGCAUCGAUGAAGAACGCAGCGAAAUGCGAUAAGUAAUGUGAAUUGCAGAAUUCAGUGAAUCAUCGAAUCUUUGAACGCACCUUGCGCCCCUUGGUAUUCCGAGGGGCAUGCCUGUUUGAGUGUCAUUA